UACGGAGGGUGCGAGCGUUGUCCGGAAUCAUUGGGCGUAAAGGGCGCGUAGGUGGCCCGGUCAGUCAGUGGUGAAAGCGCGGGGCUCAACUCCGCGUCGGCCAUUGAUACUGCGGGGCUGGAGCACUGUAGAGGCAGGCGGAAUUCCGGGUGUAGCGGUGGAAUGCGUAGAGAUCCGGAAGAACACCGGUGGCGAAGGCGGCCUGCUGGGCAGUGCUGACACUGAGGCG
rnacentral:rRNA from 1 species